rnacentral:rRNA from 1 species
AUUGAAUGCUGGCGGCAUGCCUUACACAUGCAAGUCGAACGGCAGCACGGGAGCAAUCCUGGUGGCGAGUGGCGAACGGGUGAGUAAAGCAUCGGAACGUGCCCAGUCGUGGGGGAUAACGUAGCGAAAGCUACGCUAAUACCGCAUACGAUCUGUGGAUGAAAGCGGGGGACCGUAAGGCCUCGCGCGAUUGGAGCGGCCGAUGUCAGAUUAGGUAGUUGGUGAGGUAAAGGCUCACCAAGCCGACGAUCUGUAGCUGGUCUGAGAGGACGACCAGCCACACUGGGACUGAGACACGGCCCAGACUCCUACGGGAGGCAGCAGUGGGGAAUGUUGGACAAUGGGCGCAAGCCUGAUCCAGCAAUGCCGCGUGCAGGAUGAAGACCUUCGGGUUGUAAACUGCUUUUGUACGGAGCGAAACGGCUUCCACUAAUACUGGGGGCUAAUGACGGUACCGUAAGAAUAAGCACCGGCUAACUACGUGCCAGCAGCCGCCGUAACAC